rnacentral:rRNA from 1 species
AGCGAACGCUGGCGGCAGGCCUAACACAUGCAAGUCGAACGGACCCUUCGGGGUUAGUGGCGGACGGGUGAGUAACACGUGGGAACGUGCCCUUUGGUUCGGAAUAGCUCCUGGAAACGGGUGGUAAUGCCGAAUGUGCCCUUCGGGGGAAAGAUUUAUCGCCAUUGGAGCGGCCCGCGUCUGAUUAGCUAGUUGGUGAGGUAAAGGCUCACCAAGGCGACGAUCAGUAGCUGGUCUGAGAGGAUGAUCAGCCACAUUGGGACUGAGACACGGCCCAAACUCCUACGGGAGGCAGCAGUGGGGAAUCUUGCGCAAUGGGCGAAAGCCUGACGCAGCCAUGCCGCGUGAAUGAUGAAGGUCUUAGGAUUGUAAAAUUCUUUCACCGGGGACGAUAAUGACGGUACCCGGAGAAGAAGCCCCGGCUAACUUCGUGCCAGCCGCCGCCGUAA